AACGAACGCUGGCGGCAUGCCUAACACAUGCAAGUCGAACGAGACCUUCGGGUCUAGUGGCGCACGGGUGCGUAACGCGUGGGAACCUGCCCUUAGGUUCGGAAUAACUCCCCGAAAGGGGUGCUAAUACCGGAUAAUGUCUUCGGACCAAAGAUUUAUCGCCUUUGGAUGGGCCCGCGUUGGAUUAGCUAGUUGGUAGGGUAAAAGCCUACCAAGGCGACGAUCCAUAGCUGGUCUGAGAGGAUGAUCAGCCACACUGGGACUGAGACACGGCCCAGACUCCUACGGGAGGGAGCAGUGGGGAAUAUUGGACAAUGGGCGAAAGUCUGAUCCAGCAAUGCCGCGUGAGUGAUGAAGGCCUUAGGGUUGUAAAGCUCUUUUACCCGGGAUGAUAAUGACAGUACCGGGAGAAUAAGCUCCGGCUAACUCCGUG
rnacentral:rRNA from 1 species